AAAUGAAUGACCUCAAAAAAUGAAAUUACACAAAUUACAUCUGCAUAUGUACAGAAUAAAAUAAAAUAAAGUAUUGAACAAAAAUAUUUUUUAAAAAUAGCACUGAAUUAGCUAUUUUAACAACCUAGCCAGAAUAUAGAGAAUAAAUAAUAAUACAUAUAACGUCAAUAUUGAAUAAAAGGUUUUGUAUUUAUUAAUUAAUUUUAAAUACAGCUGUCAAAUAAGGAAAAUAAGUCACUGGAGAAAAAAAAAUCUGAAUCGUAUAUGUGGCGAAGCCCCGCCCACCGUAGCCGACGUCACAGGCCUAGGUUCGUUAGCGCAGGUGUUUCUCCCACAGGUAAAUCAAGCACUGAGUGUUUAUAAGGAUUUCUAAGGAUUUAUUUAAGUGUUUAUGAGGAAUUUUAACGGUUCAUUUAAUGGUUUAUACGACAGAAAUGAGAAGCAGAAAUAUGUCCGUGAGGAGGAGCAGGAACAGGAACAGAACAGGAGCAGAACAGGAGCAGGAACAGGAGCAGGAACAGAAGCAGAGCAGGAACAGAAGCAGAGCAGGAGUCGGUGAAUCAACCCCCACCGUGUGUCUCUGCCCAGAACAGGUUUUGUCUGGAGACACAGAGGAACCGAUGUUCUGACUCAAAUCUACAACUGGCCUCCAACAAAUCAUCCAACAAACAUCUCUGAGAACUUCUGAAAACCUUGACCAAGGUAGAAAUAGAUGUGCCAGAAGAAAGUGUCUGGGCCGCAGCGCUGAGAUCCUUCAGAGGGGAAACUCACUCUGUCCCUUUCAAUCAGCGUGAAGACGCAGCGGUGGACGGAGAAGACGGCGAGGCCAAACCGUGCACACAGGAACUGGAUCCAUCACAGGUGACAUUCAAAGCCUGAACUUUUCAUUAAAACACAGGGAUUUCCUGUCAAGUCAAACCAACAGGUGUGGACGGAGAGGCACGGGAGACGUUUCACUCGGUGUCUGUCACGGUUCCUCUGGGGCAGAACGGUUCCGUUCAAUAUUAGCAUUUACGUCUUUGAACACUUUGUUUGGUCUCGUCACAGGAAACAAUGAUUUAAAUUCUCUAUUCUCCUCUAAUGGUGAAGGAACAGUACUUUGUAUUGGACUCAGUAAAAGUACUGGUACGUGAAUUUCUACAGCUAGCUAGUUCCACACUUUCUCCCAAGUCUUAUCACCGUUGGCGCUAACCUUUAGCUUCCAAAACAAUUAAUUUUUUUUUUUUUUUAAAUAGAAUGACGACAUCAAUCUAUGGUUCAGGGCCUAGAGCGCCACCUAUUCCAGAUACUGGCAUCUGACUGACAACUAUGUGGAAAUGUUUUCUUUAUCUCACCGUCUUUCUGAUAAACUCCAGAAUCCCUGUCCUCCGUCUGAGCUGAGUUAUGGUCCACAUGUUAGCUCUGGUCCUGUCCCCUAAUUAGACAAUUACACAGCCACUCAUUACCAAAUUAACUGAGCUGUCCUGAUUUAUUCAUGCAGACCAUUUCACGGCCGCUGCAGUGUUUCAUCAGGACUGAAAAUAAAACAUUAAAUCACAGCUUAUAAAAAAAGAUUUGUCAUCACAGGGAGAAAUUACGGCUCAUUUCUGGAGACGGCAGAAAUCUCUCUGACACAAACCACCAUAUGAUUAAACCCGCAAAUUAAUUUACAUAUUUGGUUUUUAGGAAUCAGUGCUGUGUCAAAGUGACUGUGGAUCAGUGGGACGGUCCACGUUUGUGCUGGAUAAAUGUUGCUAAAGAGGAGUAAAAUGAGGCCAGCAGGGGGUAAUGAGAAACUCCGAGUUAAUGAGAAGAAGAAGUUCUCCUGUGUCACCACUAGAUUUGUGAAGAAUCAAAUUGGAUCUGAAGGCCGUGGAGGAAAUUUCCAUAAAAGUAAAAAAGGAAAGAAGGAAACGGUCAUUCCUGCCGAGUUAAAA